rnacentral:rRNA from 1 species
GAUGAACGCUGGCGGCGUGCCUAAUACAUGCAAGUCGAGCGAACGGACGAGAAGCUUGCUCCUCUGAUGUUAGCGGCGGACGGGUGAGUAACACGUGGAUAACCUACCUAUAAGACUGGGAUAACUUCGGGAAACCGUAGCUAAUACCGGAUAAUAUUUUGAACCGCAUGGUUCAAAAGUGAAAGACGGUCUUGCUGUCACUUAUAGAUGGAUCCGCGCUGCAUUAGCUAGUUGGUAAGGUAACGGCUUACCAAGGCAACGAUGCAUAGCCGACCUGUGAGGGUGAUAGGCCACACUGGAACUGAGACACGGUCCAGACUCCUACGGGAGGCAGCAGUAGGGAAUCUUCCGCAAUGGGCGAAAGCCGGACGGAGCAACGCCGCGUGAGUGAUGAAGGUCUUCGGAUCGUAAAACUCUGUUAUUAGGGAAGAACAUAUGUGUAAGUAACUGUGCACAUCUUGACGGUACCUAAUCAGAAAGCCACGGCUAACUACGUG